GACGAACGCUGGCGGCGCGCUUAACACAUGCAAGUCGAACGGAAAGGCCUGCUUUCCCUUGUGGAUUGCGGGUACUCGAGUGGCGAACGGGUGAGUAACACGUGAGUGAUCUGCCCCCAACUUGGGUAUAAGCCUGGGAAACUGGGUCUAAUUCCCGAUAGGACUGCAGGGUGGUGCCUGUGGUGGAAAACGAUUUUCUAGUGGUUGGGGAUGAGCUCGCGGCCUAUCAGCUUGUUGGUGGGGUAAUGGCCUACCAAGGCGGCGACGGGUAGCCGGCCUGGGAGGGUGGACGGCAACAUUGGGACUGGGAUACGGCCCAGACUCCUACGGGAGGCAGCAGUGGGGAAUAUUGCACAAUGGGCGGAAGCCUGAUGCAGCGACGCCGCGUGGGGGAUGACGGCCUUCGGGUUGUAAACUCCUUUCGACCGCGAGGAAGCCACCUGGUUGGAAGGGUGGUGACGGUAGUGGUAGAAGAAGCACCGGCUAACUACGUG
rnacentral:rRNA from 1 species